GGACCCGCACAAGCAGUGGAGCAUGUUGCUUAAUUCGAUGCAACGCGAAGAACCUUACCAGGGCUUGACAUCUGGGGAACCUCUUAGAAAUAAGAGGGUGCCUUCGGGAACCUCAAGACAGGUGCUGCAUGGCUGUCGUCAGCUCGUGUCGUGAGAUGUUGGUUAAGUCCCGCAACGAGCGCAACCCCUGUCCUUAGUUGCCAUCAGGUAAUGCUGGGAACUCUAAGGAGACAGCCUGUGAUAAGCAGGAGGAAGGUGGGGAUGACGUCAAGUCAUCAUGGCUCUUACGUCCUGGGCUGCAAACGUGCUACAAUGGUCGGUACAAAGGGUUGCGAUGCCGCGAGGUGGAGCCAA
rnacentral:rRNA from 1 species